rnacentral:rRNA from 1 species
UCCUUUACUGACGCUAAAGCUCGAAAGUGCGGGUAUCGAACAGGAUUAGAUACCCUGGUAGUCCGCACGGUAAACGAUGGAUGCCCGCUGUUUGCGAUACAAUGUAAGCGGCCAAGCGAAAGCGUUAAGCAUCCCACCUGGGGAGUACGCCGGCAACGGUGAAACUCAAAGGAAUUGACGGGGGCCCGCACAAGCGGAGGAACAUGUGGUUUAAUUCGAUGAUACGCGAGGAACCUUACCCGGGCUUGAACUGCCAGCGAACGAUACAGAGAUGUUGAGGCCCUUCGGGGCGCUGGUGGAGGUGCUGCAUGGUUGUCGUCAGCUCGUGCCGUGAGGUGUCGGCUUAAGUGCCAUAACGAGCGCAACCCCUUUCGUCAGUUGCCAUCAGGUAAGGCUGGGCACUCUGGCGACACUGCCACCGUAAGGUGUGAGGAAGGUGGGGAUGACGUCAAAUCAGCACGGCCCUUACGUCCGGGGCUACACACGUGUUACAAUGGGUGAUACAGAGAGCAGGUGCAUGGCAAUGUGCAUCGAAUCAUGAAAGUCAUCCUCAGUUCGGAUUGGGGUCUGCAACCCGACCCCAUGAAGCUGGAUCGCUAG